rnacentral:rRNA from 1 species
GAUGAACGCUGGCGGCGUGCCUAAUACAUGCAAGUUGAGCGAACAGACGAGGAGCUUGCUCCUCUGACGUUAGCGGCGGACGGGUGAGUAACACGUGGAUAACCUGCCUAUAAGACUGGGAUAACUUCGGGAAACCGGAGCUAAUACCGGAUAAUAUAUUGAACCGCAUGGUUCAAUAGUGAAAGACGGUUUUGCUGUCACUUAUAGAUGGAUCCGCGCCGCAUUAGCUAGUUGGUAAGGUAACGGCUUACCAAGGCAACGAUGCGUAGCCGACCUGAGAGGGUGAUCGGCCACACUGGAACUGAGACACGGUCCAGACUCCUACGGGAGGCAGCAGUAGGGAAUCUUCCGCAAUGGGCGAAAGCCUGACGGAGCAACGCCGCGUGAGUGAUGAAGGUCUUCGGAUCGUAAAACUCUGUUAUUAGGGAAGAACAAAUGUGUAAGUAACUAUGCACGUCUUGACGGUACCUAAUCAGAAAGCCACGGCUAACUACGUG